GACGAACGCUGGCGGCGUGCUUAACACAUGCAAGUCGAACGGCAAGGCCCUGCUUUUGUGGGGUGCUCGAGUGGCGAACGCGUGAGUAACACGUGAGUAACCUGCCCUUGACUUUGGGAUAACUUCAGGUAACUGGGGCUACUACCGGAUAGCAGCCCCCGCUGCAUGGUGGGGGUUGGAAAGUCUCGGCGUUUGGGGAUGGAGUCGCGGCUUAUCAGCUAGCUGGUGGGGUAGUGGAUGGCCAAGGCAUGGACGGGUAGCCGGCCUGUGAGGGAGACAGGCCACAGUGUCACAGGGGAACGGGCCGGGCGCCUUAGGGGGGCAGGAGUGGGGACUAGUGCACGAUGGGCGGAAGCCUGAUGCAGCAACUCCGCGUGCUAGAGGACGUUCUUCGGGUUGUAAAACGCGUUCGCCUGUGACGAAGCGUGAGGGACGGUAAUGGGGAAAGAAGCACCGGCUAACUACGU
rnacentral:rRNA from 1 species